rnacentral:rRNA from 1 species
UACGUAGGGUGCGAGCGUUGUCCGGAAUUACUGGGCGUAAAGAGCUCGUAGGUGGUUUGUCGCGUUGUUCGUGAAAUCCCACGGCUUAACUGUGGGCGUGCGGGCGAUACGGGGCAGACUGGAGUACUGCAGGGGAGACUGGAAUUCCUGGUGUAGCGGUGGAAUGCGCAGAUAUCAGGAGGAACACCGGUGGCGAAGGCGGGUCUCUGGGCAGUAACUGACGCUGGAGGAGCGAAAGCGUGGGGAGCGAACAGG